CCCAUCCUCUUAUUCAACACUAAUGACCGACUAUUUCCAUUUCCCUAAAAACUUUCCAAAUUCCCAUCCCUGUGUCCAGAAGUUUCAUUUCAUUAAGACCAAAUCUACAAAGCCUUUGUUUCACCCAAGGACCCGAAAUUUCAACUCUUCUACAAGCCUCAAUUAGGUUCGCGAAUCCAAUCGUCUACUAGAAUCUUCAUAGCAUAUCUCGGGAUAGAGCUCCUCAAGUAAAACUCCUCACCUUUUCUCAAACUUUCAGAAGCUAUAGCUUCAGCAAGCUUGUUCGCCGAUCUUCUAACAUGCAUGAAACAUAUUUUUCAAAAACUCCCUAAAAUGCUCUUAAUUUUUCGAAUAUAGGGAGAGAUUUCUGACUUAUCAGUAGAGACUGAUUUGCAUUUUUUAAUAGUCGAAAGUGAAUCUCCUUCUAAAAUUAUUUCUGUUAUGCCCAAAUCGAUCCCUAUUUGAGCUGCCCUAAAUCAGGCAAGGGCCUCCGCUGUAAAAACCGAGCCAACGUUCUUAUGUAUAGUUGAUCUAGAGACAACCACCCUUCCUCUUGCAUUUCUCGCAACAAACCCUGACCUUGACUGAAAAAGAGCCCUGUCAAAUGCCGCGUCAAAGUUAAUGUUGACCUACUCCCUAGAAGGAGGCUCCCAUCUUGUAAUGUCGACCACCUUGUCCACAGAGCCCAAAGGGUACAGCAAAAUAUCCGGCACUGCGAUGUUGAACAAAUGUUAAAAACCCAGGGCAACUACGAAAGACAUGCGCUAAGGUUUCAACUCCAUCCCUGCAUCUUGGGCAUAUUGCAGUCCCUGAGUCAUUUAAAAUACAAGUUUGACAUAGAUAGGAUAAAAUUGUUUGAAAUACGCCAAACUGUAAUUCUAAGUUUAGAAGGUAGAUUAAGGCUCCAUAGUCUUUGAUAGAAAAUUCUAGACAUGGUUUGUAAUUCCUCUAAAUUAGGAUCAUAUAUCUCAACUUGUAAUAGUUUGUAGACACUUCUAACAGUGAACUCACCAGAGGGCUCACCUCUCCACAUCAGCCCGUCAUUAUGCGGGAUUUUUGUGAGCGGAAUUCGAAGAAUCCUGGUGGCGUCAACAAAAUCAAAAA